GCGCGUCAUGCUCCGAUUGCGGUGGGCGGCCUAUCGCGCCGGCCACGCGGCGGUGCGCGAGGCACUGGACGCGCC
rnacentral:tRNA from 1 species